rnacentral:ncRNA from 1 species
CGGAAAUAUGAAAUGAGAGCAGGACAGCACUCCCCUUGGUUAGGAUGGAAGAAGUCCUAAUGGACUUUUAACCAUGUUUAAGACUGUCGCUUUGCGGUAUCUAAUGUAUAUCCUGGGAAGACUACCGCAACUGCCAAGCUCUUGU